rnacentral:tRNA from 1 species
CGGGGCGUAGCGCAGUUGGCUAGCGCACUUGUAUGGGGUACAAGAGGUCGGAAGUUCAAAUCUUCUCGUCCCGA